rnacentral:lncRNA from 1 species
CUCCCUAGCUCACGCCAUCCUCCCCGCGAAGCCACAUCUUCCGCGGAGGCUCCGGUUAGGUCAGCCAGUCCCCGCCACUGCGGGGCCCACAGUCCCCAAGCAGGCCCUCGGGUGGCGGGCGAGAAAGUCGCUCCUCCCAGGUUGGUUCCCACCGACGCAGCAGGAAAGUGGUCUGGGGAAGGGUUUCCACCGGCUUCACNGGGAAGAAGUGGCUUCGACNUAGUGUUGGACAAGAUAGGUGGCUUAGGCCACCUUUAGCCCACGGAUGCCAAGAUGAUAUCUACUGGCAGCUCCUCUGAGCUUCUGGCUGUCACCUGCAUCGUCACUGUGUCCAAAAGCAGAAGCCGAGAACGCACAAGGAUGUCAUGACCACCCCGGAACACUCCUCUCACUCAGCAGAUACCUGCCACUGUGGGGACAUGGUGGGCUUCAGGACACAGAGCAAGCCCGAGGUACCCAAUGUAAGUGGCACUGCUUCAACCGACAAGUCAUUUCUCCAGCAGAUUUUGUACUUCAACUGUGUCCUCUGGGCCCAAAAUAGACGGAACCCUAUUGUCAUCUCAGCUGUGAGUGUGACAUAACUCUCCCAUUCAGCCAGCCUGCACUAGCAGCGUCCAUGCAACGAGUCCUUUGUUCAUUCUUCCAACAGAUCUUCACAGAAACCUGUUUUUGCAGGUGUUUACAGGGCGUACAGCAACCAGUGAAAGGCGCGCCCUAGCUAUAGCUCCUGGGAGGAGAGGUCUUAAGGCAGUUCCNGCCUCAGUCAUUUUGGCUCAGGAAUGGCCAUCUCUACUUUGGUCCUUAUUCUACACAAGUGUGAAUGUCAGAUGCAUGCUAAGUGACUAAGGAACUGUGGCCCAGCAGAGCAAAGGGACCCAGCUAUCUAGAAAGCAACAUUACAAGAGCAAUUCACGUCUUAAAAAUCUUGCUUUCCUUUUGAGCCAAUUAAAGAAUUAUCCUAAGAAAAUAAUCAGAAAUGUGCUGGGCAUGGAGGUGCAUGCCUUUAAUACCAGAACUCAGGAGGCAAAGGCAGGCAGAUCUUCAAAGUGAGUCCAGGACAGCCAGGGUUCUGUUAUACAGAAAAACCCUGUCUCGAAUCGCCCCACCC